UUUAUCGAUACAAAUUACAAAUAUUAUAAGUCACAACUUAUUAUACAAUCACAAAUUAUCAAAUUAUCUAACACAUUAACAAUUUUUUAGGUCACACAUUUUUUUUUAUCACCAUUUAUCUUUUUCAUUGUUCACAUAUUGUAUAUUGGUCACAAAUUAAAAAAUUUAAUGGUCAUAGCCAACCAAAUAAUUUGUGACCAACACUUGCAAUCACUAUCUCACUAUUGCCUCAGCACCACCACCACCCCCGUCGUCGCUAGAACCACCCCACGGAAUCAUCACUAACUUGUGACUAACUGUGUUAUUUGUGAUUGGAUUUUUUUUUACCAAGUCUGUGUUUUAUGUGACUAAUUAUGAUCAACUUUGUCUUUAAUGUGAUUGUCUAAUUUGUGACUGUAUGUAAUCAAGUCAUUAACUUGUGUUUAUAUGUGAUUAACUGUGAUCAAAUUUAUUUUCAGUGUAAUUGUCUGUGACUGUCUAAUUUAUGAUUGUAUGUAACCGAGUCAUAUGUUAUCUAUGACUAACUGUGAUCAAAUUUAUUUUUAGUGUGAUUGUCUGUGACUGUAUGUAACCAAGUCACUAACAUGUGUUAUCUAUGACUAACUGUGAUCAAAUUUAUCUUCAAGAUGACUAAAUGUGAUCAAAUUUGUCUUUAAUGUAUCUAUCGGUGAUAAGAUCAAUCUUAACUGUGAUGGUAUGUAAUUAAGUCACAAUUAACAUAGAAUUGAUCAUAACCAAUCAUAAUAAUAAACAUAUAUUUGAUCACAUAUGAUCACCACAAAUAAAUCUGCAUACAUCGUAGACUAGCGCUACCAACCACCACCAUCAUAACCUCCAAUGCAUCACCACUACCACCUUCAACUCAAAUCCACAACCAUAAAUAAUACCUUCACCUCAAAUCCAUAAUAACAAUCAUCCCUACAAUGUCAAAUCCACAACAACAAUUAUCUCAAAUUUAUAACAACAAUCCACCACUAUUAUGUUACCAUUACCUUCGUCUACAAUCAUGUUUUCACCUUCGGCUUCUCUAUAAUGGCUACCAUUUUCCGCUCUUCACUUUCUCCUAACUAUCCAUGCUCAACCCCGCAUCGGCAUUUCAAGGUAAACACGUCCCU
rnacentral:lncRNA from 1 species